GACGAACGCUGGCGGCGUGCUUAACACAUGCAAGUCGAACGGAAAGGCCCUGCUUUUGUGGGGUGCUCGAGUGGCGAACGGGUGAGUAACACGUGAGUAACCUGCCCUUGACUUUGGGAUAACUUCAGGAAACUGGGGCUAAUACCGGAUAGGAGCUCCUGCUGCAUGGUGGGGGUUGGAAAGUUUCGGCGGUUGGGGAUGGACUCGCGGCUUAUCAGCUUGUUGGGGGAGUAGUGGCUUACCAAGUCUUUGACGGGUAGCCGGCCUGAGAGGGUGACCGGCCACAUUGGGACUGAGAUACGGCCCAGACUCCUACGGGAGGCAGCAGUGGGGAAUAUUGCACAAUGGGCGGAAGCCUGAUGCAGCAACGCCGCGUGCGGGAUGACGGCCUUCGGGUUGUAAACCGCUUUCGCCUGUGACGAAGCGUGAGUGACGGUAAUGGGUAAAGAAGCACCGGCUAACUACGUG
rnacentral:rRNA from 1 species